UCAUGCCUCGCGAUAAGUGAACGGUAGUGUCACCGAGCAAGUGAAUCGUGUCCUUCCAGGUUUGCCUCAUUCUCUCACUCGGCUGUGUGUUCUGGUGCUACUAUCACUGCGGAAUGUUUCCGCACAGGGUGCCUAUAGGGAAAAGCUGAGAAUUCGGUCCGGUUGGCCGCCGUCUCUGAUAACACGCCCGAUUUUUCAGUCAGUACGUGAAGUUGCGAGGUUACAAUGACUCUAUUUCGCAUACACCGUUAUGCAGCUAUCACAAGUCUACUGGCGGGCGCACAAGGAUUCCAGAGUGCAACCCCGGACCGGUUUCAUGCAAACGGCGCGAAGAGGCAAGGACGACACGCUCCCGGAGAAACAGAGGGCCCGGCACAAUGAAAGCAGCCGUUGGUGCGCAGGGAAAGGCGCUGCCAGAUUCCGCGCUUUUUUCUGCUGAGUUCCCGUGGGCCAGCUUCGGGGUGAAGCCGUUGGAGGAUGCAGUAGAAGUGGCGAAGAAUCCACGGUAUGCUGGAGAAUGACUGCCUUCGCCGGCUAGAGAAAGCAGCUCCGCCGAACUAAAGAAUGUCUGUUGACAAUUCAUGCUUUCUUCCUUU